CCUACGUGGGGCAGCAGUGAGGAAUAUUGGUCAAUGGGCGCGAGCCUGAACCAGCCAAGUCGCGUGAAGGACGACUGCCCUACGGGUUGUAAACUUCUUUUAUGAAGGAAUAAAGUGAGGCACGUGUGCCUUUUUGUAUGUACUUUAUGAAUAAGGAUCGGCUAACUCCGUGCCAGCAGCCGCGGUACUACGGAGGAUCCGAGCGUUAUCCGGAUUUAUUGGGUUUAAAGGGAGCGUAGGUGGGUUGUUAAGUCAGUUGUGAAAGUUUGGGGCUCAACCGUAAAAUUGCAAUUGAUACUGGCAGCCUUGAGUACAGGAGAGGUAGGCGGAAUUCGUGGUGUAGCGGUGAAAUGCUUAGAGAUCACGAAGAACUCCGAUUGCGAAGGCAGCCUACUAAACAGACACUGACAUUGAGGCUCGAAAGUGUGGGUAUCAAACAGGAUUAGAUACCCCAGUAGUC
rnacentral:rRNA from 1 species